rnacentral:sRNA from 1 species
UCAAGCAAAUGCUUAAAGAUUUAAGCCUUAAUUUGUGUUCCACACAUUUUAGCACCAUCUCAUGGAAUCUGAUUGCCAGUUAUUACGAAUCUUUGCCGUUUCCUCGGAAUGGACUGAUGACUGCAGAGACUCCAUGGAGUGGACACUAUAUAUGUUGUUGAAAGUCCUAUCUGGAUCACAGUUCACCAAACCUGGAUGGAAAUACCUGUCCCAUGAUCACGGAGUCAGUAAGUUACACCAGGGGGGAAGUAUGGUGUCUCUAACCAGCCCCAACAACAAGGAUCUCACUAUUAUUAUAGAAACAAUGGUUAACAAUGGACAGAUCAAUAUCCCUGUUAAAGUUCAUGAAGUGAUCACCAUUACAACAUUGUCAACAGGGCAGAAAGGACAAUGCCCAAACUCUCCAGAUGUUAAGCCAUUCCCACUGCCAUGUAAUGAAAACUUUGAUGGGUACCCAGAAAAUGUUGAGCCUUCACUCUUUGCUCAACAAGUAGGUGUGUUUGAAACCAUGAAAUCUGAGGAUCCUAGUCAUGGAAUGGUGCUGACCCAAGUCGUUACCUACCCACCUAUAUAUUGGUGUAUAUUGAAUUUAGUCUUCCCAAUUGAUCUCAUAGGAAACUUUUCUUGGACCGAUAUUUCUGUGACUGUCGAGACACAAAUCCCAAAUGUCAGUGGAAGUUCAGGGACAUUUGUUGCUGUCAGGGUUGAUCAAGGGGGAUGCAAUGCUUUGGAAGCCAAGGGGAUUUUUCUCUUUAUACUUCCCGAUCAGCAGAAAUCUGUUCUGGCUAAUGACUUGUCUCGUACAAAAGUUAUUAAAGAGGGAUCAGUUAAUGUAUCAACAAAUGGUUGGAAUAAUAUAAGCCUCACUGUCAAAAAUUCUACCGCUGUUGGCAGUGUGAAUGGAGUUCCUUUGUUUACAACAACCAUUCCAUCUAAACCAUCCAAUGGAUUUGUUGCCAUAGGUACAGAUUCUUAUGGCAAAGCAAAUUUUGAUAAUUUUAAAAUGAUGAGCUCCAAGGAUAUUGAUAUUUCAAAACUGAAAACAUCACAAGAACUCAUAUUUGCAGAAGAUACACAAUUAUAUUUUAUGCCAAAAAGAAAUCUACCGUAA